rnacentral:rRNA from 1 species
GAUGAACGCUAGCGGGAGGCCUAACACAUGCAAGCCGAGCGGUAUUGUUUCUUCGGAAAUGAGAGAGCGGCGUACGGGUGCGUAACACGUGUGCAACCUGCCUUUAUCUGGGGGAUAGCCUUUCGAAAGGAAGAUUAAUACUCCAUAAUAUAUUGAACGGCAUCGUUUAAUAUUGAAAGCUCCGGCGGAUAGAGAUGGGCACGCGCAAGAUUAGCUAGUUGGUGAGGUAACGGCUCACCAAGGCGAUGAUCUUUAGGGGGCCUGAGAGGGUGAUCCCCCACACUGGUACUGAGACACGGACCAGACUCCUACGGGAGGCAGCAGUGAGGAAUAUUGGUCAAUGGGUGCAAGCCUGAACCAGCCAUCCCGUGUGAAGGACGACUGCCCUAUGGGUUGUAAACUUCUUUUGGAUAGGGAUAAACCUACCCUCGAGAGGGUAGCUGAAGGUACUAUACGAAUAAGCACCGGCUAACUCCGUG